rnacentral:misc_RNA from 1 species
AACGCACAUUGCGCCUCCCGUUACAGGGAGGCAUGCCUGUCUGAGCGUCAUUUAAACCAUAAACUUCAACGGGUUUGUCUUGGGCUUCGCCGUCUGUCGGCGUGGCCUCGAAGCGAUCGGUCGAAACAAGCGGACGAGAUCCAUCUGGGACGGACCGUUUGUGCGACCUAAAACCAUCGAGUUGACCUCAGAUCAGGUAGGGUUACCGCCUGAACUUAA